rnacentral:rRNA from 1 species
UAAUAUAUUAACCAGAAUGUUUAAAUUAGUGUUAUAAUAUAUAAUGUAUACAUACUAAUGCAACUGCGAAUAGCUGUUUAAUACAGUCGUAAUUGUAUUGACUUAGUAUAAUGUUAAUAAUAGUUAUUUAUAGGAUAACUAAGGGAAAGUUUGGCUAAUACGUUUUAACAGUAUUAUAAUUCUUAAUACACAUAUAAUAAUAUUAUAAUAUGAUAAAUAUUAUAUAAAUAUUUUAAUACAUUUAUUUGUAUUAAUAUAUAGAGUUGACUUUAUAAUAUUUAUUUAUUAUAAAGCAUGUCAAACAAGCAUCUAUAGCAUCAAGUCACAAUGUUGGCAUGUGUAUUAUUGAACCUUCAAAGCAUUUACGCAUUCGGAGGAGUAGUUUCUGAUCCCGUCGAAGGUGCCUGAGAGACGGCACUUAGUUCUAAGGAACGCAGCAGGCGCGUAAAUUGCCCAAUGACAAAACAUGUUAUAAUAAAAUAUAUAAUGUAUAUAUAUUGAAUACUCAAUAUUUAAUUGAGGCAGUGACAAGCUGUAAAGAUUGAAUAUAUUAAUUAAGAUAACAUUUGGAAUUGUCGUUUUAUAAUAUUUUUUAAUAUUAUAUUACUUGAUAAUAUACCAAUGUUAUAAAAUAUUCAAUUUGAAUGCGGUGAAUGUAAUAAUUUCAAGUAACAUGUAUAAAAUAUUUAUAUUUUAUUAGUUAUCUGAAUUUUCAAGUGGAGGGCAAGUCUGGUGCCAGCAGCCGCGGUAAUACCAGCUCCACUAGCUUAUACAAUCAUUGUUGCGGUUAAGAGGCUCGUAGUUGGAUUGAAUAAAACAUAUAUACACAAUACUGUGAACAAACCAGAGUGUAUAAAACAUGUAAUAUAUUAUAUAUUUAGCAAUGAAUGUUUUAUCAUGGAAUAUUGCUAUAAUGAAUAUUAAUAUCGAUGGAGAUAGUUGGAGUUAAGAGUACUGAUAGGCGAGCGGUGAAAUGCAUUGACCCUAUUAAGACUAACAAAAGCGAAAGCACUUAACUAGAUUAUUCUCUUUGUAUUAUUUUACAAUGAAGAGCGAAGGUUGGGGGAACAAAGAGGAUCAGAUACCCUCGUAGUCCUAUUUUUACAUCAAACUAUGGGAUUUCAUUCACACUAAACACUAAACAUUAUAAUUAUAAUUAUGAUUGAGUAUAUGUCAAAAUAUUACUCUCAUAUUAAAUAAUUAUUAUAUAUAUGAUUAUAUGUACUUUGAGCUCAUAUAAUUAUAUAGGUGAGAUGUAAGCAUUAUAAAGUGAAUAAUAUACAAGUAAUAUUGUAUUAUUAUGAUCUUUAAAAUAAAAAAUGUAAUGUGAUGCACGUUUUAGGUACGAGCUUACUAUAGAAAUAUUUAAAAUAAUACCCUCCUGGGGUAGUAUGCACGCANNNNNNNNNNNUGAAGGAAUUGACGGAAGGGCACCACAAGAACGCGUGGAGCAUGUGGCUUAAUUUGACUCAACCCGGGAAAUCUUACCAGGUCCAGACAUAUUGAGGAUUGACAGGCGAUAGUAUAUAAUUCAUUUAUAUGCAUAAAAAUGAUAGUCCUUUCAUGAUUAUAUGAUAGGUGGUGCAUGGCCGUUCUUAGUUCGUGGAGUGAUUUGUCUGCUUAAUUGCGUUUCAGUAAAUAAAAUAUAUAAUAUAUUAUAAUAUUUAGUUCUGCCUUGAAUAUUAUUCAAGGAUUUAAAGUGAACAUAUUAUAUAUAUUAUUAUAUAAUAAAUGAAUGCAACGA